rnacentral:rRNA from 3 species
GGCCUAACACAUGCAAGUCGAGCGGAAACGACACUAACAAUCCUUCGGGUGCGUUAAUGGGCGUCGAGCGGCGGACGGGUGAGUAAUGCCUAGGAAAUUGCCUUGAUGUGGGGGAUAACCAUUGGAAACGAUGGCUAAUACCGCAUAAUGCCUACGGGCCAAAGAGGGGGACCUUCGGGCCUCUCGCGUCAAGAUAUGCCUAGGUGGGAUUAGCUAGUUGGUGAGGUAAUGGCUCACCAAGGCGACGAUCCCUAGCUGGUCUGAGAGGAUGAUCAGCCACACUGGAACUGAGACACGGUCCAGACUCCUACGGGAGGCAGCAGUGGGGAAUAUUGCACAAUGGGCGAAAGCCUGAUGCAGCCAUGCCGCGUGUAUGAAGAAGGCCUUCGGGUUGUAAAGUACUUUCAGUUGUGAGGAAGGGGGUAGCGUUAAUAGCGCUAUCUCUUGACGUUAGCAACAGAAGAAGCACCGGCUAACUCCGUGCCAGCAGCCGCGGUAAUACGGAGGGUGCGAGCGUUAAUCGGAAUUACUGGGCGUAAAGCGCAUGCAGGUGGUUCAUUAAGUCAGAUGUGAAAGCCCGGGGCUCAACCUCGGAACUGCAUUUGAAACUGGUGAACUAGAGUACUGUAGAGGGGGGUAGAAUUUCAGGUGUAGCGGUGAAAUGCGUAGAGAUCUGAAGGAAUACCAGUGGCGAAGGCGGCCCCCUGGACAGAUACUGACACUCAGAUGCGAAAGCGUGGGGGAGCAAACAGGAU